rnacentral:rRNA from 1 species
AUACGUAUGUCGCAAGCGUUAUCCGGAUUUAUUGGGCGUAAAGCGCGUCUAGGCGGCUUAGUAAGUCUGAUGUGAAAAUGCGGGGCUCAACCCCGUAUUGCGUUGGAAACUGCUAAACUAGAGUACUGGAGAGGUAGGCGGAACUACAAGUGUAGAGGUGAAAUUCGUAGAUAUUUGUAGGAAUGCCGAUGGGGAAGCCAGCCUACUAGACAGAUACUGACGCUAAAGCGCGAAAGCGUGGGUAGCAAACAGGAUUAGAUACCCUGGUAGUCCACGCCGUAAACGAUGAUUACUAGGUGUUGGGGGUCGAACCUCAGCGCCCAAGCUAACGCGAUAAGUAAUCCGCCUGGGGAGUACGUACGCAAGUAUGAAACUCAAAUGAAUUGGCGGGG